GGACCCGCACAAGCGGUGGAGCAUGUGGUUUAAUUCGAUGCAACGCGAAGAACCUUACCUGGUCUUGACAUCCUGAGAACUUUCUAGAGAUAGAUUGGUGCCUUCGGGAACUCAGUGACAGGUGCUGCACGGCUGUCGUCAGCUCGUGUUGUGAAAUGUUGGGUUAAGUCCCGCAACGAGCGCAACCCCUAUUGAUAGUUACCAUCAUUAAGUUGGGUACUCUAUUGAGACUGCCGCUGACAAGGCGGAGGAAGGUGGGGACGACGUCAAGUCAUCAUGGCCCUUACGACCAGGGCUACACACGUGCUACAAUGGAUAUUACAGAGGGCUGCGAUACCGCGAGGUGGAGCGAAACUCAGAAAGGUAUUCUUAGUCCGGAUUGCAGUCUGCAACUCGACUGCAUGAAGCAGGAAUC
rnacentral:rRNA from 1 species